AAGGGAGACCUAAUUCGGGUAGGAGACGAAAAAAAAGUAGUCGCUACCAAGAAUCAAUCCCAAAAGGUCGGAGCGAGGCGAAAUUGGCUUUCAAACUAGGUUCUGGGUUCACACAAGACCUGAAUCAGGAACAAGGGCUAUUAGCUCAGGUGGUUAGAGCGCACCCCUGAUAAGGGUGAGGUCCCUGGUUCGAGUCCAGGAUGGCCCACCUGUACAGGUGGAAGAAAGAAAAGAAGCUCCGAAUCAGCACCUUAUCUUACUUAUAUAGUAAGAGAGAAUGCUGGCUCUGAGUUCAGAGUCCAGAGGAACCUUGAAAACUGCAUAGAGCUAGGUGAAAAAGCCAAAAAAGAAGACCGCAA
rnacentral:tRNA from 1 species